rnacentral:rRNA from 1 species
UCGCGUCCUAUCAGCUUCUUGGCGGGGUGAUGGCCCACCAAGGCGUUGACGGGUAGCCGGCCUGAGAGGGUGACCGGCCACAUUGGGACUGAGAUACGGCCCAGACUCCUACGGGAGGCAGCAGUGGGGAAUAUUGCACAAUGGGCGCAAGCCUGAUGCAGCGACGCCGCGUGCGGGAUGGAGGCCUUCGGGUUGUAAUCCGCUUUUGUUCAAGGGCAAGGCACGGUUUCGGCCGUGUUGAGUGGAUUGUUCGAAUAAGCACCGGCUAACUACGUGCCAGCAGCCGCGGUAAUACGUAGGGUGCGAGCGUUAUCCGGAUUUAUUGGGCGUAAAGGGCUCGUAGGCGGUUCGUCGCGUCCGGUGUGAAAGUCCAUCGCCUAACGGUGGAUCUGCGCCGGGUACGGGCGGGCUGGAGUGCGGUAGGGGAGACUGGAAUUCCCGGUGUUAACGGUG